CACCAACCGUCCCACACCACCCACCCCCCGUCUUUCUAAAAAAAAACCACGCAGCCCGAUCCAGAUCCCCAACCUCCUCUCCUCUCCCAACCCACUCGCCGCCGGCCUCCCUUCCACCUCCUCUCCUCCGUCCGUCCACCCCCAUGCCCCCCGCCGCGUGCGCCACGCCGGCGGCCGCGCGCCCGCUGCUCCCCGUCUCGCGCCGCUGCCCGCUGCAGCUGAGGGACGGCAACGCGGCGGCCUCCCUGUCCUUGGGCGGCGCCGCCCUUGCAAAAUCGAAGGCGAAGGCACCGGCGGCUGCCGCGUCGCCGCCGUCGGUGAGGUCGUAUGCUGCCAGGGUUGACGCGGAGAGCAGGGCGGCGGCGGUGGCGAGGGAGAAGGAGGUGUCGCUGGCAGAGGAGCUGGAGAAGGUGCGGGAGCGGCGGGGACGGGUCAUGGCGGAGCUGAUGCGCCUCAUCGAGAUGCAGUGGGUCUCAAUUAUCUGUAUUCGGUGGUGAAACACUGAAACUAGAGAUACAGUGGAGUGACUUUCCUGUAGAGGGAAUUAGGGAGGUUUAUUCUGAUGAGAUUAUUUCCCAUGAGAUAUAGACACGAUGCAAAACCAAGUAAAAACUGGAGGAGCGCAGAGUUCUCGUGAUGUGCAUUAUGCCCCUUCUCAUGAUGUGCGCUACCCUCAGGGCCAGCGCAUAAUGCGAUGAGCGCCAAUGAACAGACAAACGGUAAACUGUUGGCUGCUGCCGAAGGAGCAAGCAAUGUUCAGUUCCGACAAGUGAUAAAGUGGUAUUCCGACGAGUGUUCUGACUUGUCUGAUGAUGUGCAGAUUUUGAUUGCCUUGUGAACUUGAUUAAGAUUAUCAGAUGUUAAGUCAUUCAACCAUGUGUUUGCGUGCCAUGUAAAUUUCCAUUGCCAUGGGGUUAACCUGUUUGUACAAAUUAAAGUAACUUGAUUAAGGUGUUAAAUCUGUCAAGCGGUCAGUCACAGUACUGUGCAGUCAGCCAUGUCCUGAUUUAGAGAAGUAACAUUUUUUUUGAAAUAGUAGAACAUGCAGUCCUUUUACAAAUGAAAGAGAGGCAAAGAAAGUGUUGAACAAGAACAACUAUCAGCACAACAUGUUGUGAGUUGCACAUCCUUUUUUGCAUUCAUUUUGAAAAAUGACCCCUUCUUAGUUGCUUGUCACGCUCGGCCACUGGUUGCAGGUCUAUGUUCCGGUGGAAUCGUUGAUUUCUAAGGAGGAGAGGAAGAGAAUACAGGGGACUGCGUCUUCAGAUUCUCAGUAAUGGAUAAUGGAACAUAUAAAAGCUGCUAGAGUACCCGCCAUCCCAGCGCCAUCUCCGUUUCGAACGAUUCCUGUACGCUCGAUCUGCCUCGCUGGCUCGUUUUUACGGCGCUGUAAAAAAUCCAGCCACUCGUUUAUCUGCACAUUGUGCUCUUCUGCAUAAGUGAAUGACUGGUGGGCCUCCUUUUCUCACGGGCCCAGUUUUGCGGUGUGUCUCGCGUGUACGCUGCGUGCGAAAAGAGGGGAUCCGCAUAGAGCGUGGGGUUCGCACGGUAAAACCAAGCCACCAAUCCCCUCGAGCCCUGCCUCCUCUCCUCUCCCUCCCCUCCCCUUCUCUCGCCGCCAUCGCCCGUCGCUAUAGCCCUGCGUCCCCUCCUCCCCUCCCCCCACUUCAAUCGUCGCCGUCGCGCGUCACUUUCUUCGCCCGCAUUCGUUCCGACGGCGGCGGCGGCGGCGACCUGCACGCCAAGGGCGAUGGCGGUGGCGUUCGAUCUGAUGCAGCGCCAUGGAGAGAGGAAAGGAAAUAGAGGAGGGCGAAAGAGAGAGGAAAAAGGAGAUGGAGGUGCGUUGGCUGACGUGAGAGGGUCAUCGGCCUGGAAGGACGCGGACGGCAGCGGCUUGGACCAACGGUGUCCUGGCUUUGGGAGCUGCGCAUCGAGCGACGACGACCACAUCUGCCGCCAUCACCAAGCCAAGAUGCAGAGCGGUGGUGGACGACGGCAGCCUGCUCCCAAGUUGCAGGUGAUGUUGCGAGAUAGCAGUAUACCAAGGGUUCUAAGAAUUUGAUUCAUAAAUGCAGCCAAGAUGCGGAGCGGUGGUCGACGGCGGCGGCCUGCUCCCAAGUUGCAGGUGUGUGCGUGGACAUCUUCAUGAUUACUGAUCACAAAUGAACACACAUAUCUUCUCUCGAAAUUCUGAGUGUUGAGACUUGAGAUUGGUGGCUCAUUGUUUCUGUAUUCAAAUACUGAUGAAUCAACACUUCCAAAAGAUAUACUGAUGGCCAAAGAAGAUUGGGGAAGUUCCACUAUGUUCCUACAGACUGUUGGCCAAAAAAGAUUUGGGGGAAAAUAGCUCUGGAGAAGGAUUGAGAUGAAAAUGGGAUUGGGAUCUCACUUCGCAAUGCAUUGAAGAAUCAUGCUUUGAAGUUUCCUGGAGACAGACUACUCUUGCAUCAUUAUGUGCAACCCACAGGGAUCUCGCUCGGUGAGACAAGCACACCUAUGCCACAUCUUUACAUGAUUUAUGUCCUUGCCAACUCUACAAUUGUUAAUUGCACACUCAGAGUCUGGAUAUUGAAUUAGCUACUUUUGCGAUCCCUGGACUACACGAGUCAAUAGAGCUGAUGUUCAUCAGUAUUUCUGGAUUGCCCAUCUUUCAGCUGAGUUAAGGCUUUUUCUAUUGUCUGCAAAUGAAAAUUAUUUGAUGUACCCCUGGUAUGAUAAAAGAAGAGAUUGCCCUUUUCCUUUGUAAAAUUUUCCACACAUGAUGUUGUCGAGGAUGAUUUCAGAAUUUAUAUGCUCAUUGGUUCCAUUACUCCUUUCCCCAUUAACUCAUAUUAGACAGUGGUGUAUAAAGGUUGCACCUGACUCUGUUUUCCAAGGAAAUACAAAUGAAGUUAUAUUACUUGCAACCUGCGACCCCUCUUCGCUAAACAAGAAAAGUAAAAAUGAUAACCUAUCAUGCAGUAAAAUUACGUGGCUGAUCUCUGUUUUGUGCAUGUUCGGUUGGGAUUAUGAGUUGUUCUACUUCCCUUAAGAGAGUUUAUUUUCCUCUCAUGAGAUGCAUACUUAUAUUUCUGGAAUAAAUGAAUCUUUUGGGUUGUAACCUGUUCUUAGUAACGAUGCCUUACCAUCUGCCUUCUCCUCUCCUUUAUGUUGUUUUUUCUAAAUUAUUUCUAUGGACUACUACCAUAACUUGUUGGUUUAGUUUAGGUGUCUAGGAAGAAUUUGCAGUCUUGCAGAUGAAUCAUGAUAUCAGGUUUAGGCAUGCACAUGGCCACUAAUCACAAAAAAUGAUAUCUGAUAAAGCCAUCAUCAUGUCAUGUAAUUACUUGCAGAACAACUAUAUUGUUUUUUGGGGCGGUAAAGCAGAAAUGAUAGGACUCUGCAAGUCAUGUGAGUGUUGUUUGAUUAUUUACUUUCUCAAGUGCGUGGAUGUCGUUAGCAUGUUUAGUAUACGCACGGAGAUAUGCAAAGUGUGAAAAUGGUUUCCUGGGAACGUCAGGUUUUUUUUCUCCUCGGAACGAACGAAACGUUCGCCAGGGAGCGAUCACCCCACCGAACGUUUUUGGUCGAUCUGGGGGAGGAGCUGGACCGAACGAUUCGCCCCAGGCCCCCACGCGAACAGUUGCCCCUGCAGGCAAAAACAAAACUUUGACUAGGCCUUUACAGCCUCCAAUUAGGCUAAAAAAUGGCCCUGUUUUUUGUGACGCCUCAACACUUGGAUCAUCGCUCGAGGUUAUCGCUUUUGAGUUUCAGGUGAUAGGUUAUUUUUAAUUGAUUUUUUGGAAAUCAUGAUGCUAAAUAUAUGGAUUGUGUCAGUUAGCUAAUCUAUUGGCUCUUUGAUGUGUAUGAUGACAUGAUGGCAAUGAAAAUACAUUUUCGAACUGAAAGUAUUUGUGUAGUUUAAUUUUGACAGAGUAUAGGAGCAUACUCAAUGUCUUCCGCUUUGUGUAUGAUGGCGGCUUUUCUUGCUUAUAGUAAUCAGCUAAAUAAAUAUGUGGGCAUUUAAAAAUAUCUUUGCAAUUAGGCCAGGCGUGAGAAAAAAUUCAAAGACGACGAUCUCUUUUGGUGUAUUUCUAUUCUCCCUGUUCCAAAUCUUUUUGUUUGGAUGCCACUGGCACACCACAUGUUGUUCUGAAGAUAUCAUGCUAUGGGACUUUUCAGCAGAACCUAAACAAAAGGAAGCUAUGGUGUUACUUGCAUCUCAGUUUUCACAUUCUUCUCAGGUUUCACAAAAACAUAAACAUGAUUGGAUGGGUGUCCUUGCCUGCGACCUCGCUGUCUCCAACCCAUCCACAGGUAUUGCAACUCCUUGCCAUCCAAUUUAUUCACUGUUCGUCCUCUCUGCUGUGAUUUGGCGGUUGAAAUCAAUUCGUCUGGAUAGGGAGGAGCAAUUCAGUAAUCAUUUACGCACCAUGUAUACUUCAUUUUAUUUCAUGUAUAACCUGUAUAUAAUAAGAAAGAAAAGUGGGGUAGCUCCUCCGUUUCAGUGCUUUAGCCUGAAAAAUACUGAGUUUACCUUCAGAUAAUUUGAGUGAUGCUGAUAUGAUAGUUAACCAUAUAACCUCCAUUUCAUGUAUAACAUUACUUGAAAAUUUAUAGCAUGUGGACCACCACAAAGAAUAAUCUCCCUUUAGAUAAUUUGAGUGGAUGCCCAUUUGAUAGCCAAUUAUGCUAAUAACGAGGGUGUCCGGACCAAGCUGCAUGCCUCCAAGAUCGCCUUUUUAUAGCGGUAUCACGACGACCUGUGUAUUUCCCGUGAUAGAAAUUGUGAUACACCUUCCUUUAGGUGCAUUUUCAUUCAGAUGGUGAUCCAGGUUUAUUGGAGCAGUACAUGCUAACCACCAAUGUGUUUUCUGAUCUUUAGUACAAGGCUUUACCAAACUAUCAAUUGAAGUGCAGGUCAACCAAAACUUCAUAUACAUAGGCUGAAAGAUGAAAACUAAAGACCAUGGAAAAGAUCACACCAUCUUUUAUCCCUGAAAAAAAACUGCAUGGUCACUUGACUUUAUAGACAACAUGCUGCACUAUUAACUUUGGUUUAACUGAUCGAUAAUGCCUCCUUGUUAUUAGCUAUAUACUAAGGAACAUGCCUGUGAGUAUAUACUUAGGCUAUGUAUGUGAGACCAGAUUGUUAACAUAAUACACUUAGUGAACCCCUAAUUUAUGUUGUUCCUAUGCUUUGGGAGACUGCAGCUGACAUCCUCAAAAAAAAUACCUGCUUAACAAUCGUUCCCGCUUUUCUUUACUUGAAACUGUUACUCUGCUCUAGGUUCAAGGAUCUGUGAUAGGUGUAUUUAGUUUUCCUAUGGCGAUGGCACAUGUAAAUUAAACCAUCUAUUGUGUUCUGCAUUCUAUGCCAUUGCCCAUGGUCAUUAUGUAUUUGCUAUGAAUGUAUGCUCGGUGUUGUUUGUAAGUUGGAUCUUCCUAAAAACCAGAGGAUGUAUUUUUUCGCCGGAAAUAAACCGUGUAUUGUCAGACUUAGUUGAAUAACUCCCAGAUUUUACCUACUUCAUUGUUUUUGUGACAAUCACAGGUUGUUUGAUAAUAGGCCUAAAAACCAAGAUAAACUGAUGUUUUCACACCUUUGCUUUGCAUCUGUGUUGACCAGAAGAAAUUGCUUACAGGGUACCUUUCUUACAAAACCUUUCCUUUGCAAUUGUAUCAAUUUACUUUUGAUACCAAACUUUUGUUCUAACCUCAUUGGCAAACCUGAUUACCUGAUCCAAUUACUUACCUGUGUAAAGUGCAAACUUGUGUGCUCACUACCUAUUCUUCUCUUAUUGGAGAUGCAUUCACCUGCAUUCCAUUCAAGUAACGGAUAGAUAGUUGUUGCUAAUUCUAUUCAUGGUGAUUGCAGGCAUGGUUAACCUAUCCUUUGUGUAGUAUGAAUAUUAUACACACUCUUUUCAUUUCUGUUUCCCCCUCCUAAACCAUUUAUUCUGUCUACCGCGGGUUGCUUGCUAUCCUCUCAUCGUGUCUAUUGGUGUAGUAUCGCAUAUCCUCUCUCGAAGAGAUGAGAUAAGGAUUACAGGGCUACCAACUGAGUUCUACGGCUCACCUCUGGAAGACAUCCUGAGUCAUUAUUUUGCAUGCUAGAGAACAACAACUAUCAUGUUGGUGAUUUCCCUGAUAUUUGGUUCUACAAGUGUGUCAUAUGGACCAAUGAAAGAAAAUAUAUUCCGGAGAUAAUAACUAUAUGGGCUACUCCAAAUGGUCUGACAGUGGAACCAACACCUUUUAUAGGCCUUCAAGUACCUGUGGAAGUCUACCAUGCAAGCAUUAUCCGAUGAUGACACUGCUUUUUCGUACAUAUCAUCUUAAGACCGCGGUCAAACUAAGAAGAUGCCUAAAUAAGCUGUGAGGCAGCCUAUAUAUAAGUGUAUUUCUAUGAACUGACCUAAGUCAUUCUACUAUCUGUAAACCAAUUUAAGUCAUUCUACUAUUUGUAAAUCAGUUUAAGUCAUUCUACUAUCUGCAAUACAGUCCACACUGCAUUAUCUUUCCAUCUACAUUUCUUACUUACUCACCACUAACAUUGCUUCUAACUCGCUUUUUGCGCCAAUGGCGCAACCGGGUCAUCUAGUUACAAAAACAUUCCUCAAUUCCUCUAUGGCUUAAGCCCAUCUCAGAUGGAAAUGUUUAAAACUGACGACAACCCUUAUAAUCGGCAGUCAAAGAAAGUUACAGAGAAAUCUUGGAUUCAUAAAUGGGAGAAGCAUGGAAAGUGUUGCCAUGUUGUCGGCUCAGCUAAAGUCCUUAAUCAUGAGGAGAUGGGACAUGUCGAUUGUUAGAGUACAGUUGACAGAGGUGAUCGACGCUGACUUCGCCGCGAAGCCUUGUUGCCACGUCGCACAGAUGAUCGUCCAGGUGAUUUCGACGUCGGAGGUCGCCGAGGUGGAGGACCUUGACGCCACCGUCCGGGGGAGGGAGGAUUCGAGUCCACCGACGUCUGAACUCCGAGCCUAGGUAGAUACAUCUAGAGAAGUGGUCUGUUUAGGUUGGUGGUAGACCACUAGGGAAGGUACCCACCUUACGAUGAUGGUUGUGUGUGUCUGAUGUUAAAUGGAAUCUCGAGAUGGUUCUGUGACAUGUUAAAUGGAAUAUUGAGAUGGUUCAGUGACA